rnacentral:ncRNA from 1 species
UAAAGGCUUGGUCCUGGCUUUCCUAUCAGCUUUAGCCAAAUUUACACAUGCAAGUAUCCGCACCCCCGUGAGAAUGCCCUACAGUCCCCUGCUUGGGAACAAGGAGCUGGUAUCAGGCACAUCUUUAUGAUCAGCCCACGACACCUUGCUUAGCCACACCCUCAAGGGAAUCCAGCAGUGAUAAACAUUAAGCCAAUAAGUGUAAACUUGACUUAGUUAUGGCUAAAAGGGCCGGUAAAACUCGUGCCAGCUACCGCGGUUAUACGAGAGGCCCAAGUUGAUAAGCAUCGGCGUAAAGAGUGGUUAAGGUUAAGUAAACACUAAAGCUGAACGCUUACAAGGCUGUUAUACGCACCCGAAAGUAAGAAGUACAACCACGAAAGUGGCUUUAUUACACCUGAACCCACGAAAGCCAAGGCACAAACUGGGAUUAGAUACCCCACUAUGCUUUAGCCCUAAACAUUGAUAGUUUUUUACACCUACUAUCCGCCUGGGAACUACGAGCAACAGCUUAAAACCCAAAGGACUUGGCGGUGCUUUAGACCCACCUAGAGGAGCCUGUUCUGAAACCGAUAACCCCCGUUCAACCUCACCUUUUCUUGUUCUCCCCGCCUAUAUACCGCCGUCGUCAGCUUACCCUAUGAAGGCCCCUUAGUAAGCACAAUUGGUACAACCCAAAACGUCAGGUCGAGGUGUAGCGUAUGGAAAGGGAAGAAAUGGGCUACAUUCCUUAAUUACAGGGAAUUACGAAAAAUAUUACUGAAACGUGUAUCUAGAAGGAGGAUUUAGCAGUAAGCAGAAAAUAGAGCGUUCCGCUGAAACUGGCCCUGAAGCGCGCACACACCGCCCGUCACUCUCCCCAAACGCACCCACGCAAUUUAACUUAAAACCUUUUAACAGCAAAGGGGAGGCAAGUCGUAACAUGGUAAGUGUACCGGAAGGUGCACUUGGCAAAAC